AGAGGCUCGGCUCGCGCGGCGCGGCCGCUGCGACUUCCUGGAGUUCUGCCUGCCGGGGGCGCGGGCGGACCUGUCGCAGCCAGAGAGCUGUCAUUUCAGUACCGGGAUUCAGAAUUGAUCCAGUCCGCAGCGGAGGGGGCACAUCCCAGCUACCGAGCUGCUGAGUGUCUCUGGCUGGAACAAUAGUAUUUUUUUCUCUGCGAGGCUGCAAUUAACAUCUUAUUUGUUCUGGCUCCAUACAGGCUUUGUCAGGAUCGCGGUGCGGCGACCGACGUUGGGCUCUUGCAUUGCUUUGUGCUUGGCAAUGGAAUCAUGGUUUCGGGGUCUAAACUUUUGUUUCGUUUUGUAGUCUUAAUGUAUCUGAUUCUUUUUCAAGUUUCCCUAGUAACAGGUUUGGGGACGGGGUGGGAAGAAGCGAGAAAAGGGGUGAAGAGAAAAAACCAGAUUAUAUAGAAAGGAAAAAGGGAAAAGGGAUGUUUCCCCACCUUUUAAUCUAACUAUCUAUCUGUCUGUCUAUCUAUCAUCAUAGAUAGUCAUUUUGCCUCCUGGACAGUUGGCUGACGAAGUGUCUGAUAAACCAGCUUCAGAUACAUGCUACAAAAGGCUACUGAGCUGGCCUGAUGAUGAUCCUUCUGAGAUAUAUUUAUAGCAGAUGAUUUGUGGAUGAUAACUACGCCAAGCAAGACACUGUCUCCAGUAACCCCAGGCUCGUCUGACUUCCUCAGGGGAUUAUAAUAAAGAAUCACAAAAAGAACCCUAUAUGGACAGUCUGGUCUCUGGACACUAACAACAGCACAAUCCAAAGGCAAAGAAAGGAGGAACCACCUUGUUUCAUGUCUGCAAGCUGCUCCAUAUGAAAGCAUUGCUGACAUGUUGACCCAACAGCAAAAAGAGAGCAGCAGUUUACACACCCUCAGCUCUCUGUCCUUUCCUUUCUAUUGAUGUUGGUCCACUUUUAUGACUGAAUACAUAUUAAAAUCACCAUUUCAAAUUAUAAUUAUCUGCUUUCAUUGGUCUCUUUCACAAGUCUAUGUCUAUAUUUAUGUUUACAUAUAUAAACACAUAUACACAUAUUUUAUACAUACAUAUGUAUAUGUAUGCACGCAUUAUUUGUAAGUACACAUACACGUGUGUGUAUAUAUAUGUAUAUGAUAUGUAUAUGUGUAUUUCAGUUGAUACACAUAUAUUUGCUUGGGAAGUUUCACUACAUUGCUUUGUAUUUCUCUUUUAUAAGGUAAUGCAUUUAAUUCCAAAACUACCACAUUAAUUGUAUAAAUUGAUUAUUACAUAAGUUUCCUUGAUGAUUUACAGAAGAACUAUUGAGAGGUC
rnacentral:lncRNA from 1 species